CAGGUAAAGACCAACCUCUCUGGAAUCCCAUGAGGUAUGCAUCUCUGGGCUGGCACUGGACCAUUAAUAAUUACUUACCGAGAAAGGCCUUCUAAGCCCUAAUGAGUCCAUCCAAUGAGAAGAUGAUUUCAGGAUGUAGUUCUUUAAUUGCCCAACGUCAAGCAAGACAAAACUUAAAAAUGUACGCUCGUUGGACUAGUGAAUUGUAUUUCUUAACAACCAAAAGCCUGGCCCUAAGGACAUGAGAUUCCAAAUGGCUAACCUGCAAAUUGGAGCACAAGAGGAACAGAGGGAAGAGGGAUUAGAUUUCAGGAAGAAAAGCAAACAAGGAAAAGUACUUCUGAAGUUCCCCAGCACAUCAGUUGCCUCAACAUAGUAAAUCCAGGCAAAGAAAUGCCAAGACUCCACUAGCUCAGCCCCAACCCUCUGGUAAGGUCAAAAUACUGCAGGAGGGGAAUUAGCCAGUAACUGUUUCCACCAUCAUGCCCUGCUCUCCAUGUACCUGCCCAGUUGUGAGAUCCUUAGCUUGAGUGUUAGGAUGUCAUUUUCUCUACAAGCACUCGGUCAAUUAUAAAGUACUUGGCAUUGUGGGAGAGCAUUUCUUUCUGACCUCUGUCAGCAGAUGCUUGAUCUCUAGAAGCCUGGGGGGAUUGAUUACCUUCUGGUAACCACAGUUGCCAAUCUCACUGAGACAGUUGGGGAGAAGAGAAGGGCAGAGGGGUAGGCAAUCUUAUUGCUCCUGGUGGACAAAUCCAUUGAUGAAUUGCCUCCUGGGGAAGAUGGAAAAAAGAGUGUGCAAUGAUUUGUGUAUU
rnacentral:lncRNA from 1 species